GACCUCGCCAUUCACUGCGCCUC
rnacentral:siRNA from 1 species